ensembl:lncRNA LINC00683 long intergenic non-protein coding RNA 683
CUGACGUAGAGGCAGAGAGCUCAACAGAAUCCAGUGACUCAAGGCGUGCGCAGAAGCAAUUUGCUUCUGAAACUCUAAACACCGUUCUUUAGUACUUCCUGACACUCCUCAGCAGCAAGCAAAUAAAUAUUUACAUGUGGAAGGAGACUGUCCUUUGAAAUGUAGGUUGUUCCAUUCAGAAGAGAAAUACGGCAAGGUGCCACUACUUUAGUGGCAACACGCGUUAUUAUUUAUGUUUUCCAGUUUGAAAAUCGUGCACUUUCUAUCAGGACCCUUAAAUGGUAAACACUGAUUCCCACGUGAAGCGAAUUAGUCCAGCAGCCACCCCCCCCUUGGUGGUUCAGGGACAACAGCAUAAGCUUUGACAAAUCACCCUUUGUUUUAUGCUUUGAUUACCUGAAUAACAGAGUACACCAGUCAUCAUAAGAAGAAAAAUUCACAUUUAAAGUUUGGAAAGCAACAGGACAAAGGUCUGUCUUCAGUGGUGCGUAGACAUGCUCGUGAUUGAAUUGGAAAUAGUUCUCUUUCCUUCUCUCUGACUUCCUAACUGAAAAGCUGCAGCGUGGGGAGAAAGGCUGCUCAGAAGCCUGGAGCCAGAACACGCACCCCGGCUUUUGCAGGGCCGGCUCACUUGGUUAGAAUCAAAGGAAAAGCCUUGUUAUUUGGGAAGCUGGGCGUCCUCACCAAAUUAGGGGAUUUAAUUUGCAGAUAUCUAAGGAGUGCUUUGAAAUGAAAGAUGAACUAAAAUCUGCUCUGAGGCCCGUGAUUUUUCACCAGUGAAGGACUCUCUUGCUGCUGGACAUACAUGAAAAGCAUCAUCUGAUCUGAAACGCAAGUCCCUGCAAGACAGAGGAGAGACUUUAUAAACAUUUUAUACCAUUCUAUGAAAUCAAUUCGAUUCAGGGCUAGAAUUCAAGAAGUAAUCCAUGGGCAAGUAUAUCUGAUGGUAAACCCAAACGAUUAUAUUGUUAACCUCUUGUACUUUUUUUAAUUUUUUAUUAUUUGAUAUUAUUAUCACAAAAGUCGCUGGAACAGGAUCCAUGAGCUGCUUCUUCACUGCUUAGUGUUUUCAGAAGCUGAUGGAUUAUUAAGCUCCAAUUGAAUACUUGAUUUCCAAUGAUUCCAUUAAUUUUUCUGGUUUGUGGUAGGAUUUGAUUUACUUAUUUUGUACUUUAACACACCAAUAAAAAAUAGAUACUAAGAA